rnacentral:rRNA from 1 species
UACGUAGGGCGCAAGCGUUAUCCGGAAUUAUUGGGCGUAAAGAGCUCGUAGGCGGUUUUGUCGCGUCUGCCGUGAAAGUCCGGGGCUCAACUCCGGAUCUGCGGUGGGUACGGGCAGACUGGAGUGCGGUAGGGGGAGAAUGGAAUUCCUGGUGUAGCGGUGGAAUGCGCAGAUAUCAGGAGGAACACCGAUGGCGAAGGCAGUUCUCUGGGCCGUAACUGACGCUGAGGAGCGAAAGCGUGGGGGAGCGAACAGG